CGGUGUUUAAUGUGUCCCAGUUUGGUAAUCCUCAAUGGGUGCUUAACUGCUCUCUUUGUGAGUCUGAGUCAAGAAAAUAGAUUGCUUUCAGCAAGAGAAUACUCAAGAGUGAAAUUUCACCAUGCUUUUUUCUCUGAGAAAGUCACUUGAGGUACAGAGAUGGAUAUUGCAAGCAGAUGGCACUGACUGGAUUAUCGAGAGUGUGCAGACACAGGACCAAUGUUAAGUCCGUCAGUGACACAACAGUGGGGGUGAACAUCACCAGCAACAAUGAGACAGCCUACAGAGAGGAGGUGGAAGAACUUGAGGCCUGGUUCCAGUCAAAUAACUUCUUCCUCAAUAUCAAAGAAAAUGUUUGUGACCUUCAGGAGAACUCAUACCACUCAUAUGUCUCUUUAUAUCAGUGGCACAGAAAUGGAAACUGUAAAUAAUUCCAAACUCCUGGGAGUGUACAUCUAGCAUAACUCCCAAUGAUCCUAGAACAGCAUCCUACACAAUCAAGAAAGCUCACCCAUGCCUCUACUUUCUGAGGAGGCUGAAGAGAACAUGUAAAUAUCUAUGACCUUCUACAGAUGUGCAGUUAGUGAGCAUCCUAACUGUCAGAGUCGUCUUAUGUACAGACACUUGAUGGGCAUACAAUCGACCUGUAUACAGUGCCACCCCCCCUUGGAAGUUUUCAUGUUUUAUUGUUUUGUAAUA